rnacentral:lncRNA from 1 species
CGGGGGCAAGGGUUAACAUGACCCUAUUUGGCUAUUGUGCCAACAUAACAUCAAAUUGAUAAAUUUGAACUAGACAAAAUUCAAUUCAAAUGAAAUCUCAAACAAACAUUUAAUAAUAAGUCAAUAAACUCAAAUGUAUUUAAAUUAAAACAUCAUAAAAGUUUGUCAUUAACACCCUCAUGGAACAAGACUAAUGAAAACUGUUGCAAAAUUCAAACUUCACCAUAUCUCUAGCUGUAAGCUGCUUAUGCUGUGGCAGAUGGCUUAGCACUCGAUAGUCUGGACCUCUUCUUAGCCAAGCUCUCACUUCGGCGUUCCCUCUGCUCCUUCAAUCUGGAUGCAAGGAGUUUCUGAUAAUCUGCUGCCUCUGAUUUUGCCUUAGCAAUUCUCUUCUUCUUGUCUGCAAUUCUUGCUCGCUUCCUUUGGAGUGUCAAAGGAGUGACCAAUCGCUGUAUCUUUGGAGCUUUGCUAACCUUCUUCCCUGCAAUCAAACAACAACCACUAAGAUUACAAUUCAUUACAACUGUCUGUAUUGGUACAAUUUUACCGGAUGUCACUGAAGGACAAUCACAAAUUGUGAGAAAACAGCACUUCCUUCAAUUGGGUACUCUAAACCCCAAUCUAAACAAUGUAUACUGUAAAGUAUCACUGCCUUCAAUGAAAGUAAUAUUCUUCGUACUUAAAACAUAGAAAAAUACAGCAAGUUUCUGCUAGAACAAUGAAUACAAGCGGUGGCUAUGAAGCCCCUUGUAGUUUGGACAACAGUUUUUUAAUAAAAAAAAAAUAUUAAUUCUACAUCUCCCUCACUACCUUUAAUAUAAGGAUAUAUAAAGAAAUGGAUACUAUAUUCAUGGAAUCAGAAACUUACCAUCCUUGGUGGUGAAAGUUCUACGGUAGGUGUUAACAUAUUUUCGCACAUCAUCAUCCUUUGACAGGUUGAACAGCUUACGGAUUUUGGAUGCUCUCUUAGGACCUCUCAUCCUUGGCUUCUCAACAUCAGUAAGCCCUGGAAGAUCAUUAUCACCUUUCUUCACAAUAACCAAGUUCAAAACAGAGAGGUCAGGGCUGACAAUGCAUCCACGAACAGACUUCCUUCUUCGCUCUCCAUUGCGCCUUCCAUGUCCACGGAAACAAGGAGUUCCUGCAAAGCGCAAAAUGCAUAAAACUUAACCAAGUAGAAAACAAGCUUGACUAUGAACUCAGACUCCUGCAAAUAAUGAAUUUCUAAGGGGAGCCCAAAAAUCAUUGCACAAAAACAUAAAACAUUAUGUGUUGCAUCUCUAAAACAACAAUCAUUGUGAUCAUGGACAUGUGGGCCUUGGCCGUCACUAUGUCAUGGAUUUUUUUCUCAUACUAUAUGCAUUCUACAUAAAAUAUAGACAGUUUGACUUAUUGAUCGAUGUUUCCCACACAUCCAAAACUAUUUAACUAGGAGGGAAUAAAGUUCUUUUUAUAAAGUUAGUGGAGACGUUGAUGUAUUGGAGGUUAAAGUUAUCUCUAAUAUUACAUGUGGAAAUUGCACCUACUGAAAUAACGACGUAUGCUAUAUAGUUAAAUGCAAAAUCACAUGAGAUAAAUAGUUAAAUGGUUGUUUCUUUACUUAUAAUUAUAAUGCCUCCAUUACUAUAAAUUUAUAACCGUCCCUGAUAGUAAUAUUAAGAGGCAAAAUUUUCAAUGCAAUAUACAGUAGUUGUACCACUAUGCCGCACAGACAACACCAACUAUAACUAUAAUCUGUUCAUCAUAUGCCGAAUGGCAAAUAGAUUGAAGCUUUAAAGAAAAAAAAUGCUACCUCUAUGGAGCAAGAGCCUAACACGGCCAGGUGUCAACACUCCCUGCUUCAUUGGGAAUCCUUGUUUGUCACACCCACCAGUAAUUUUGAAGACGUAACCCUUGAAUUCCUGCAGGUUGCAAAAUCACAAAGCAAAAUAGAUUAAUUACAAUGCUCCUCAAAAUAAGAAAGCAGACACCAAAAAGUUCAUGCUUAAGAUCAUACCUCUCCCAAGGCAUCGCCAAGGACUUCCUGUGAGAUCCUCUUGUCCCAGAAAGCACGACUGCAAUAUACACAAUGUGAUCAAAUAAUCAAAUAGAAGCCAUAUACAUGACUUAACUUCACAAAAACCCACGUAUAGCACUACACUGAAACCUUGUCUGGAUAAACACAACUUAAGUUCGCAGCUUAUAGCAUAAGCGCUAAUCAUAUAAGCACUAAUGAAUAGUCUAUUCCUAUCAAACAGUACACACCGAUAAAAUAAUGAAAUAAAGGCAAAUUGUUUUUGAAUCUACAAGCUGUUAUCAAUAACCAUCUUGGAGAACUUAUCGAAACAAGUUACAUGUCAUAAGUUGUUUAUAUAAAUUCUCUCAACUCAAACAACAAUCCAAACAGACCCAAUAUCAGUAAAAUCCAAAUUCACAUAAAUGUCGGUAUUAAACAUAAACAUGGUGAAAACAAGUACCAGAUUAGCACUACAGUUAAGUACAAAUGAAAGAAAGAAAGAAAAAAAAAACAAUUACAAUGAAAAUUGAAAAGAAUUUCGCCACAAACAUAAAGAACAGAAACCAAUAUAGAUUCAUGAACAUGGUCAAUUCAAAGUAAUGAUUUUUUUCUCCUAACCAAUAAAUUUAAAAUGAUAAAAAAAAAAUGCGAAAAUGAAAAGAGAGAGAGAGUAAAUGGAUUAUUACAGCUUCAUGUCAUCAUCGAUUUCAAGCUUCUUCUGACAUCCAGUGGUUGGAUUCGCAACGUUAAACUGAAACCAGAACGAAAAUCAUGAUGAUUCAGUUUAAUGAAACAACAACAUUGAAAUCGAAGAAUUGAAGAGUUUGAAAACAAAACCUUCAUGUUGGAAUCUUGUUCUCCUGAUCCAGCCGCGGAAACUCUCGUGUGCAG